rnacentral:rRNA from 1 species
AGAGUUUGAUCCUGGCUCAGAGUGAACGCUGGCGGUAGGCCUAACACAUGCAAGUCGAACGGCAGCACAGUAAGAGCUUGCUCUUACGGGUGGCGAGUGGCGGACGGGUGAGGAAUACAUCGGAAUCUACUUUUUCGUGGGGGAUAACGUAGGGAAACUUACGCUAAUACCGCAUACGACCUACGGGUGAAAGCAGGGGAUCUUCGGACCUUGCGCGAUUGAAUGAGCCGAUGUCGGAUUAGCUAGUUGGCGGGGUAAAGGCCCACCAAGGCGACGAUCCGUAGCUGGUCUGAGAGGAUGAUCAGCCACACUGGAACUGAGACACGGUCCAGACUCCUACGGGAGGCAGCAGUGGGGAAUAUUGGACAAUGGGCGCAAGCCUGAUCCAGCCAUACCGCGUGGGUGAAGAAGGCCUUCGGGUUGUAAAGCCCUUUUGUUGGGAAAGAAAUCCAGCUGGUUAAUACCCGGUUGGGAUGACGGUACCCAAAGAAUAAGCACCGGCUAACUUCGUGCCAGCAGCCGCGGUAAUACGAAGGGUGCAAGCGUUACUCGGAAUUACUGGGCGUAAAGCGUGCGUAGGUGGUCGUUUAAGUCUGUUGUGAAAGCCCUGGGCUCAACCUGGGAACUGCAGUGGAAACCGGACGACUAGAGUGUGGUAGAGGGUAGCGGAAUUCCUGGUGUAGCAGUGAAAUGCGUAGAGAUCAGAGGAACAUCCAUGGCGAAAGCAGCUACCUGGACCAACACUGACACUGAGGCACGAAAGCGUG